rnacentral:tRNA from 1 species
UAGCCUAGUGGUUAAGGCUAUGGAUUGCCAAUCCGGAGACGGCGGAUUUGAUUCCCGU